GGGUGCUGCUUAUUUCCAUAUAGGCGUAAACGUGUAAGACCUAUUUAGAGCCAUAUCUCAAAUCUAUGGUGAAUGGAGGCGCAUAACUGUUCUUGAUUCGUGGAGUGAUGUGUCUGGUUAAUGCCGAUAAUGAACGAGAUCCAAAUAAAUUAAAAGGACGAUUUCGUGAUUACGGCGUUGAACAGAGUAAAAUAUGGCAAUGUGUUUAUAAAAGUGGUGGUUUAUAGCCCACUAGCUUCUUAAAUAUCUCAAAUUCCUGCCAAGAAUAAUGUGAUUGAGCAAUGGCAGGUCUGUGGGUCCCUUUAAAUGUCCUGGGGUGCAAGCACUC
rnacentral:ncRNA from 1 species